AGAGUUUGAUCAUGGCUCAGGAUGAACGCUGGCGGUAUGCUUAAUACAUGCAAGUCGUACGAGGGCUUUUAGCCCUAGUGGCGGACGGGUGAGUAACACGUGAGAAUCUGCCCUUAGGAGGAGGAUAACAGCUGGAAACGGUUGCUAAUACUUCAUAUGCCGAGAGGUGAAAGGAAUUUCUGCCUAAGGAGGAGCUCGCGUCUGAUUAGCUAGUUGGUAGGGUAAAGGCCUACCAAGGCGACGAUCAGUAGCUGGUUUGAGAGGAUGAUCAGCCACACUGGGACUGAGACACGGCCCAGACUCCUACGGGAGGCAGCAGUAGGGAAUUUUCCGCAAUGGGCGAAAGCCUGACGGAGCAAUACCGCGUGAGGGAUGACGGCCUGUGGGUUGUAAACCUCUUUUCUCAAGGAAGAAGUUCUGACGGUACUUGAGGAAUAAGCAUCGGCUAACUCUGUGCCAGCAGCCGCGGUAAUACAGAGGAUGCAAGCGUUAUCCGGAAUCACUGGGCAUAAAGCGUCUGUAGGUGGUUUGGUAAGUCUGCUGUUAAAGACUGGGGCUCAACCCCAGAAAAGCAGUGGAAACUGCCAGACUUGAGUGUGGUAGAGGUAAAGGGAAUUCCUA
rnacentral:rRNA from 1 species